AUCGCUUCUCGGCCUUUUGACUAAGAUCAAGUGUAGUAUCUGUUCUUAUCAGUUUAACAUCUGAUACUUCAUCUAUUCGAUGACAAUAUAUUAAAUGGAUUUUUAGCACUAGGAUCUGGAAUAGGAGCUUGCUCCACCCAUUCCAUACAUCAACCUGGCAUUGCAGUACCUUGGGGGAAUAAAAAAAAU